rnacentral:rRNA from 1 species
UACGUAGGGGGCAAGCGUUGUCCGGAAUCAUUGGGCGUAAAGCGCGUGUAGGCGGCCAGAUAAGUCCGUUCUGAAAGCCCGGGGCUCAACCCCGGGAGGCGGAUGGAUACUGUUUGGCUCGAGUCCGGAAGAGGCGAGUGGAAUUCCCCGGUGUAGCGGUGAAAUGCGCAGAUAUCGGGAGGAACACCAAUGGCGAAGGCAGCUCGCUGGGACGGUACUGACGCUGAGACGCGAAAGCGUGGGGAGCAAACAGG